UUUGCACAAGUGACAAGUCCUCUUCAGGUUCUUAGAACAAGCCAACUACUCUGGGAUCCAAGUAACUGGUGAUGGAAAGCUGUCACAAUAUUAGAAUGCCUCACUUGAGGAUCAAUUGAAUUGUGAACUGUGAAGAAAUGACAAAACAACACUGGGCCACAUUAUCAUGAUACAAAGAAGUCCCAAGAAGCCAUGGCUGGUGAGAAAAGGAAUGUUCAUUGUCUUUUACUGUAGAUCAGAUGCCAUAUGGCUGUUGAAAAAGAAGACCAUUUCAGAACUUGACUUUACCUGUCAGAUGACCACACUAGGUGGCUAUGAUUGAAUAUUUGUGGCAUGUGUCUUAGUCCCUGAUUGGAUAGCAGAUAUUGAUUGCAUGGGAAAUAGUGGGCUCAUGUACCUGUGCAAUUAAAGUGCCUGUAUAUUCUUUUCAGAAAAUUCAGGCUUGUUAAAAGCUCUGGCAUACGUGUACCCAUCAGAAGCAAAUAGCACCUGAUAGAAGCAGUUUAGUCCAGGGCUGCUCCUGCUCUGUUCUGUUCUCCUGCAGAAGCCAGGGGGAGCUCCAAGCUCCCCUGGGUGCCAAUCCUGGGGCUGGCAAGGGGCACAGGGGCUGGUCCCUAUCCCCACAUGGCCUGGAGAACUGUCUCCCUCAGUGGGGAUGCUGCCUACCAUACUUCCUGCCAGCUGCAUGUCUACCCCUCCUGAUCCCCACCUGGCUGGCAGGGAGCGUCUCUGCCUAGGGGGGGAUGACUCUUCCAACCAUGUGGGGAUCAGGAAGAUCCUAAUCCCCAUGUGGCUGGCAAAGAGCAUCCUGCUGAGCUGAGACAUCUCUCCCCACCCUUUGUGGACACCUGCCAGCUAGGCUGACUGGGUGUAAUUUGCUCCUAGUCAACAUCUACACAUACGCUACUGCUCAAUAGCUAAUAUAUCAUUAAUUUAGUACCUAUUUUUGUUGGUACUAGAAAAUGGCUCAUUAGCCUAAUUUACUGCACAGUAAGGCCCCCACACCUGUAGGCGCUGGCACUUUACUAUGCAUUAGAUUAGUCUAAUGUGCAGUAAAGUGUCUUGUGUAGUCACACCCAGUGAGUUACAGCCAAUAUGGAGAACAGUGGACAAUAGCCAUUAUACUCUGGGACAAAUAUGAGACACAUCCAAGUUUUGGAAGCUUUUCUAUGAAUUAGAACAGUUACAAAUAUUCAUAGAUAAUGAAUCCAGAAGUAACAAUGGCUUGAUUUGGGUAAUAUUUGAAAAUGUAUACAAAUUUGGUAACAAUUUUUGGAAGGAAUUAAAAAAUUGGAAAAAACUCAAAAAAGGCAAAAACUUUUUUGACAUGUUCCGAAUGACAUAUUUCUAUUUUUUGGUUCAAAAUGACAUUGUGGAUUUCAAAGAGAAUUAGGUAGUUACGCGAUUUAGAAAAUGCCCAUAGGUACCUAAUAUGACUUCAGGAAACAAAAUACCUUGAUAAGUGUGGACAUUGCUAGCCAUCUGCAUUGGGAACCAUUAUUUUAGGCAUUCUAGAUGCAGAGUAAAAGACAGCUGCUACCACAAAGAGUUUACAACAUAAAGCUGCAACCCCACAAAGACUUAUACAGCACAAGUUGCUACCACAUAAGCUAUCAAUGGGAUGACUCACAAUACAUCAAAUUAAACAUACAAACGAAUCUGAGCAGGAUGAGGAACAAAGAAUAGACAUUUUAAAAGAGAAAUUACAAUCUAUGAUGUCAGCGUAUGUUCUGCAUUCAAUAUAUUUUAUAGAAUGAACACACACAUAUUAAUUGCUUUUGAUGCAAUUGCUUUUCCUCUUGGAAAUGACUACAAAAAAUUAGAGAAAAUAAAAAUGU